GAUGCAUCUUUUACACUGCUGCAAGUAUCUGUUAGAUUGUUUGACCUAGGUUUUUCUCUUGCGUAGCUCAUGAUCUUGUGCCUCAUGUCUGUGAUGGAGGUGGCAAAGUGUCCAAUGCCACACUAGUACCAUGAGAGUCUAUCGAAGGGUUUUGUUGCAUAGUACCGCAUUCGCUUCUCCUUGUACACAUGAGCCCUAGUUUUGUUUGUCGAAUGGCGUUGUUGUUUCUUCUGGUGAUCGUGGAUUGUUAGUUUCUCUGUUUGACUGGGUUGGAACCUCCUAGGAAGUGUAUCUCGUUCCUGUUAGUGGGGAUAGUUGUGUGUGAUGGAGGCGCUUAUACGCUAUUUCGUUCUUAUCAUCAAACUAUUUCGUUGGGGGAACUUUGCAGUGUCUGACUGAGGUGAGAAUGUAACUGUCCGGCUGAAUCUGCAUCAAUCGGCUGAUACGUAUGGUAGGGACAUUCCACGUUUAAGAAAACAGAGUCAUGAGCAGCACUCAGCCAAACACCACCGUCUCUACCUCCGGCCAGGAGGACUGGGAAUGGAAAGCCGUUACUCAGAGAUGGGUAGAAAGCUCUGGAAAACCUCCCUUUAGGGUUGUUCCUGAUGACUCCAAGCCUGCUCUUCGCGACCCUCUUUCAACUUCAGACCCCACCGAAACAGAGCACUUCAUUCUCCGACCACCCCCCCUCAACAAAUGAGGGCCGUGAUCACUGGGUCGGGGACGACGCCAUUGUUAGGAUACAUCCGUUCAAAAUUCUGGAGAUUUACCGUUUUAGUGUCGAAGGGAGUGUGCCACGGAAAGCACAUUACAAACCGAUAAUCACUUAUGGAUUAGUGAUUAUUGCCUUGAACAGUGCUGUUUGGCCGUUCAUGAGAUAUGUCAAGGAAUUAAUUCUGAUAAUUUUGAUAAUCGUUCCGUUUGGGUGCAACGGUGUGAUAUUUUUUUGAGGUCAUGGAUUAAGCAAAUGGUCUACUUUGAGCUUUCCGAGCGAAUAGUGUGAUCCUUAAACCACAGAACAAUGCGGGGAGUCGUGCUGUGACUUUCCAUUUUCGUUUGCAAAUAACUGCAGGGCAGGUGGAUAAUUGCACUGCGCACUGUUUCUGAGUGGUGUUGGAAAUGAAUUCAAGGAUCGCUCACUGUAUAAAUCUGGCCACCAGUACAUUGCAGUGACAUCAUGACCUGCCCCAUGUUGACUUGCGUUACUGAAAUCAGGAGACUACAGGAAUCAGUUCGUUUCCCUUACAUAUAAAUUCUGUAAUUGUCACUCAGCAGUGAAUCGCUGUGAUUUGGAUCAAUCAAUGCUUCUUGCAGUCACCCCAGGUGUCCUUCCAGCGA